rnacentral:tRNA from 1 species
CGCCGGAAUAGCUCAGUUGGUAGAGCAGAGGACUGAAAAUCCUCGUGUC